GACUCACACAAUUACUCAAAACUCUCCAUGGAUGCCUCCAAGUCUCAUGUGACAUAUGGCUACAAAGAGACUAAGAGUGUGCUGUGAUUCUCACCUUUAACUUUCAAUGCAAUGUUAUUUCCUUUGCCAUUUUGAUUUCCUUUUACUUUUUGUUCUUCUUUUUUCCUUUCAGUCUUUUACCUUUCCCUUUUGUUCAUAUCGUUCUUCACAAAAACUCAGCCUUGACAUUUAAAACGUCUUCACUAAAGAACCCAGAAAGGACUCUGAAUCCGGUCCUUGAAUUGCUUUUGGAUUCUGUUUGUUUACCAAAAAUCAGCGUAAACAAAUUGGCACACCCAGUGGGAUCAUUUUAGUGAAAACUAAGUUUUAAAGUGUCAUUUGUAUUUGGUCCUGAAUCUGUAUUCAAUAUUUAAUUCCACAUAUUGGUUUUGAGAAUUCAAGACCAAAUUAUCAAGGACCAUCGUGACUUCAUUUUUGGUCUGUGCACAUCAACGUGAUUCAAGUUUAUGCCAAGAUUGAAUCUUUGAAUUAUUGAACGCCAAAACACUGGUGCUCUUGUUUGUGUUUGAGAAUUUUUUCAAAUGUCUAAUAUCAGUCCAAGAUAUAAUGCCUCUUAUGCUGGAAAUUACGGACAAACUUCUUCAAUGGUGAACCAAGUUGAUUCAGUUUUUCCUCAUCUAGAAAUUGGUUCAAGCCAAAGGUAUGUUCCAAAUUCACAACAUGGAAUGCCAUUAGAAUUCUUGGCUGGUCUUGGUAGUUCCCAGAUGAUUUUUACGGACCCUUUAAUGACAAAUGUUUCUCCUAGAAGCCAAGCUUUGGCAUUUGGGAAAGUAGCAAAUCAAAAUGGUCAAGAACAUAUAGAGUUCAGCACAUUGGGAAUGACCAUGCCUUUGGUUCAAAGUGGUUCAAUGAAUUUAUUUACUUCAAAUUCAACCACUGAUAUUGAUUUACAAUCAAUUAGGCAACAAAUUGAUGAGAGUAAGUAUAACAUGGUGAGCAUGUUGACACAACAUAUGUCAACUAUGAUUGAUCCUCUCAUUCAAAAUACUCAACACUUGGCUCAACAACUGGGUCGAAUUGCUGAUGUUUUUGGAGCACCACCUUUGGACCAAACGUUCCAACAAGUUCCAGAUUAUGGUCAAAAUGUUCCUCAAAAUUUGGUUCAGAAUGAAGUUCAGAAUUGUGGUCAAAAUGGACAAGAAAACAUAGUCCAAAAUCAGCCACAAAAUUCUGACCAUAAUUUAGACAAUGUUAUGUUGGUCAAUCGAAACCAAAAUGAUAUUUGGGGGCCACAAAAUGUGGCUAAUGCUGUCGAACAAGUUCUAAAUCAUCAUGGUUUCAAUGUUGGAUAUGCCAAUCGUCCAAGUUUCACGUCUCCGUUUUCUGAAGUAGUUCUUCAAGCAGAACUCCCAAGGGGAUGGAAGGUUCCAAAAGUUACUAAAUUUUCAGGAGACACAGGUGAAUCAACUGUUGAGCAUAUUGCAAGGUACCGGCUUGAAAUUGGUGAUCUUGCUAACAAUGAACAGUUGAAAAUAAAAUAUUUUCCAAGUUCCUUGACGAAAAAUGCUUUCACAUGGUUUACUACUCUACCUCCUAAUUCGAUCCAUAAUUGGAAUGAAUUGGAGAUGGCUUUUCAUGAGCAAUUCUUUAGAGGAGAAACCAAAGUGACAUUAAUGGACUUGGUUAAUAUUAAGAGACAAUCGAAUGAGUCAAUAGAUGACUACUUAAUUCGAUUUAGGCAUAUGAAAGCUAGAUGUUCUACUCAUGUACCUGAAUUCGAAUUAGUAAAAAUUGCUAUUGGGGGCCUAGACUAUUCGAUUAAAAAGAAUUUGGUGAAUGAUGAGUUCAUAGAUAUGACUCAAUUGGCUCAUAAGGUUAGAAGAAUAGAGAAACUAAGGCUUGAGAAAUACAAGCCUGAAGGAGUUUUUCAAGGAGAAGAAAGUUCUUGCAUAAGAGCCACUCAAAAUCCUGAAAUUGGUCAAGAUGAAAUUGAUCAAUCUGAUGAGGAUAAUGAUAGUGAUGAGAAUGAAGUGAAUAUGGCUGAAUUUAAGCCAAAUUCUCCUUAUACUUAUGAAGGUGAGAGCAAAAUAAAAUUUCCAGCAACAUCCUUUAAAGGAUUGAAGACUACAGGUGACUAUCAGAAGGUUAUGGCGAAAAAGGAGUCAGAAUUUGCAAAGAACUUCAAACCCAAAAGGGAUUGGCUAAAGUACUAGCACCUUAGUUUAAAUUUCGGCAUAUUGCCGAAAAACGGCCCCUGUGGUUGAAAUCAAUGGGAAAUAGUAUGUCCCUUCAAAAUCUUAAGUGAAUUUUUCGACCAACAUUGCUGCCAAGUUAUUGUCAAUGCAUGGUAUGUAAUGGUCGAAAAUAUGUUGAUGAGAGACUAUUAUAAUUAGUUGAACUUUUUGCUGGGAAGGAAUAUUGAAGCUCAUUACUCGAAGCCAUAUGACAAAGUGGCAAACCAAUAAUCCAUGUCUCAGAAUUUCAUCUAUUUAUUGGUCCCAGUGUUGAGAUGUCCUUCGAAUGGCAAUGAGCUUUUGAAUUUAUCUUGGCACUGUUACUAACCCAAUAUUUCGACCAAUACUUGUGGAAAUACACAAUUGGAAAUUGACAGCAGCCAAAAUGACUAAGUGAUUGCAAAAGGCCAUGAACUGUUUGGUCAAUUUUGGUGAUAUAACUCAAAAUGUUAUUCCUCUCACUUCCUUCAAGAAACAACAUUUUGGGGGGCCUCUGUUAACACCAAAAUUUCCUAGUUUGGAAAUCGAUUCUUGAGAUAUGGUGUACAUGGAUGCAUGGUAUAAUUUAGUGGAAUUUUUAUCAUGUUGCCAAAUUAUUAUCGACUACAUAUGUUUGUCGAAAUAUGAAAGCUACUACCAUGUGCCAAAACUUCAUUCUCCUAGUCGAAAUAUGGCACAGUCGAGAUAUGGCACCGGUCUUGGAGUCGAGAUUAUAUGUUGGAAUUCAAAGUAAAAUGGCCUAUAUAUUGUGUUAAAUGGCCAAGAGCUUUGAAGUAGUUUUACUGGUAGCCAACCAUGAUUCAUUGCAUGAGGUUCCACGUAGCAAGGAGGUUACCAUACUUUAAGACAUGUGCCACAUUCACACCCACGUAGCAAGGAGGUUUCCAUAUUUUAAGGGCCACGUUCAUACAGUUGAAGAUUUGGAAUUACACCACCAUUGGCCACGUCCAAAGAGCACCGAAGUACAAGAUAACUAUUCAAGAAAAGUGGAGGUUAUUAGUGGUCUAGGUAGUUUAUUUUAAAUAAACACAUGUCCAUUAGGUGGCAAGGUAGUUACUAGGAACUUAGUCUAUAAAUACUAGUUUUGAUUGUAAUGUAUGCAGACUCACACAAUUACUCAAAACUCUCCAUGGAUGCCUCCAAGUCUCAUGUGACAUAUGGCUACAAAGAGACUAAGAGUGUGCUGUGAUUCUCACCUUUAACUUUCAAUGCAAUGUUAUUUCCUUUGCCAUUUUGAUUUCCUUUUACUUUUUGUUCUUCUUUUUUCCUUUCAAUCUUUUACCUUUCCCUUUUGUUCAUAUCGUUCUUCACAAAAACUCAGCCUUGACAUUUAAAACGUCUUCACUAAAGAACCCAGAAAGGACUCUGAAUCCGGUCCUUGAAUUGCUUUUGGAUUCUGUUUGUUUACCA
rnacentral:lncRNA from 1 species